rnacentral:rRNA from 1 species
UUCGGGGGACAGGGUGACAGGUGGUGCAUGGUUGUCGUCAGCUCGUGUCGUGAGAUGUUGGGUUAAGUCCCGCAACGAGCGCAACCCUCGCCUCUAGUUGCCAGCAUUCGGUUGGGCACUCUAGAGGGACUGCCGGCGACAAGUCGGAGGAAGUGGGGAUGACGUCAAAUCAUCAUGCCCCUUAUGUCUUGGGCUUCACGCAUGCUACAAUGGCCGGUACAAAGGGCUGCGAUACCGCGAGGUGGAGCGAAUCCCAGAAAGCCGGUCUCAGUUCGGAUUGGGGUCUGCAACUCGACCCCAUGAAGUUGGAAUCGCUAGUAAUCGCGGAUCAGCAUGCCGCGGUGAAUACGUUCCCGGGCCUU